UACGGGAGGCAGCAGUGGGGAAUAUUGCACAAUGGGCGCAAGCCUGAUGCAGCCAUGCCGCGUGUAUGAAGAAGGCCUUCGGGUUGUAAAGUACUUUCAGCGGGGAGGAAGGCGGUGAAGUUAAUAGCUUCACCGAUUGACGUUACCCGCAGAAGAAGCACCGGCUAACUCCGUGCCAGCAGCCGCGGUAAUACGGAGGGUGCAAGCGUUAAUCGGAAUUACUGGGCGUAAAGCGCACGCAGGCGGUCUGUCAAGUCGGAUGUGAAAUCCCCGGGCUUAACCUGGGAACUGCAUUCGAAACUGGCAGGCUAGAGUCUUGUAGAGGGGGUAGAAUUCCAGGUGUAGCGGUGAAAUGCGUAGAGAUCUGGAGGAAUACCGGUGGCGAAGGCGGCCCCUGGGACAAAGACUGACGCUCAGGGUGCGAAAGCGUGGGGAGCAAACAGGAUUAGAUACC
rnacentral:rRNA from 1 species